AGAGUUUGAUCCUGGCUCAGGAUGAACGCUAGCGGCAGGCUUAACACAUGCAAGUCGAGGGGCAGCAUUCGGGUAGCAAUACCUGAGAUGGCGACCGGCGCACGGGUGAGUAACGCGUAUGCAACCUACCCAUAACAGGGGCAUAACACUGAGAAAUCGGUACUAAUUCCCCAUAACAUUCGAAGAGGCAUCUUUUCGGGUUGAAAACUCCGGUGGUUAUGGAUGGGCAUGCGUUGUAUUAGCUGGUUGGUGAGGUAACGGCUCACCAAGGCGACGAUACAUAGGGGGACUGAGAGGUUAACCCCCCACAUUGGUACUGAGACACGGACCAAACUCCUACGGGAGGCAGCAGUGAGGAAUAUUGGUCAAUGGACGCAAGUCUGAACCAGCCAUGCCGCGUGCAGGAAGACGGCUCUAUGAGUUGUAAACUGCUUUUGUACGAGGGUAAACUCAGAUACGUGUAUCUGACUGAAAGUAUCGUACGAAUAAGGAUCGGCUAACUCCGUGCCAGCAGCCGCGGUAAUACGGAGGAUUCAAGCGUUAUCCGGAUUUAUUGGGUUUAAAGGGUGCGUAGGCGGUCUGAUAAGUUAGAGGUGAAAUCCCGGGGCUUAACUCCGGAAUUGCCUCUGAUACUGUUGGGCUAGAGAGUAGUUGCGGUAGGCGGAAUGUAUGGUGUAGCGGUGAAAUGCUUAGAGAUCAUACAGAACACCGAUUGCGAAGGCAGCUUACCAAACUAUAUCUGACGUUGAGGCACGAAAGCGUGGGGAGCAAACAGGAUUAGAUACCCUGGUAGUCCACGCAGUAAACGAUGAUAACUCGCUGUCGGCGAUACACAGUCGGUGGCUAAGCGAAAGCGAUAAGUUAUCCACCUGGGGAGUACGUUCGCAAGAAUGAAACUCAAAGGAAUUGACGGGGGCCCGCACAAGCGGUGGAGCAUGUGGUUUAAUUCGAAGCAACGCGAAGAACCUUACCAAGUCUUGACAUCCCCCUGACCGGACAGUAAUGGGUCCUUUCCUUCGGGACAGGGGAGACAGGUGGUGCAUGGUUGUCGUCAGCUCGUGUCGUGAGAUGUUGGGUUAAGUCCCGCAACGAGCGCAACCCUUAAGCUUAGUUGCCAUCAUUAAGUUGGGCACUCUAGGUUGACUGCCGGUGACAAACCGGAGGAAGGUGGGGAUGACGUCAAAUCAUCAUGCCCCUUAUGACCUGGGCUACACACGUGCUACAAUGGACAGAGCAGAGGGAAGCGAAGCCGCGAGGUGGAGCGAAACCCAUAAAACUGUUCUCAGUUCGGACUGCAGUCUGCAACUCGACUGCACGAAGAUGGAAUCGCUAGUAAUCGCGAAUCAGCAUGUCGCGGUGAAUACGUUCUCGGGCCUUGUACACACCGCCCGUCACACCAUGAGAGUCGGUAACACCCGAAGCCGGUGGCCUAACCGCAAGGAAGGAGCUGUCUAAGGUGGGACUGAUGAUUGGGGUGAAGUCGUAACAAGGUAUCCCUACGGGAACGUGGGGAUG
rnacentral:rRNA from 1 species